CUCAUGAGAGACUAUUACAACAGGAUGUUGAGAGCCUUCUUACUCCAAGACCAACAGAAGAAGUGCCUCUUUAAUACAAGGGAAAAGGCAGGACGAUGCAGGUGAUGAUAUACACCAUCACAGCAAUGUUCUGUAUGAACAGAUAAAGAGCAGGACCAUUUUCUCUGUAUGAAGAAGCAGCCUGCCUGUGGAAUUGAGGCAUCUGUUACCACAUCAGCCUGACAUCUGUGUACCUAUCAGGACUAAAGAACACUCUAGCAGAUGGCCUGAGCAGGUAGUUUUCAGAUUACCAUGACUUGACAAUAAAGGACUCUAUCAUUCUGAAAGGUUUUUGAAAGUGGGACCAGCCCCACGUGGACUUAUUUGCUACAGAAACAAAGAAAAAAUUACCCAUCUUUUUACUCCAGGGGAGUCCCAAGUCCAGAAGCCCUCUCAGAUACAUUCCUCACUCCUUGGACACUGCAUUGAAUGUAUGCAUAUUUCCCAGUUCCUCUUACACUGAGGGUUUUAAGGAAACUCAAAUAAGAAUCUGUGGUAAUGAUCCAGAUAGCACCAGAUUGGCUCAGACAAUUCGGAUAUCAAGACCUCAUGAGAGUCAAUUCAACUUCCAAAACUUUGCCAGUAAGUCCAGACAUAGUCUCCCUGAUCAUCUUGCAUCUGAAGCUGACCUCUCUAUGGCUCAUAGCCUGACUGUAGGCUGGCAGACUCCCAUGAAGAGAGCUUGUUCUAAGGAUGUCAAAAAUAUUCUCAAACAAAGUAGAAGGGAAUCUAAAAAAAUCACCUAUGCAGCAAAGCAGGAAAAGUUCUGCCUUUGGGCACAGCAACACAGUAUUUCUCCAACAGAAUUAGAUGAUCCUAAUAUUCUGGGCUACGUAACAUAAUU